AACUUGCUAUAUAUCUUCUGUCGGCUUCGUUCUGAAUCGUGAGAAGCGAUAUUCGACUAAACGAAAAUCAAAAUGGAGAUUGGCAUUUUAAGUACUUCAGGGGGAAAACAGCUGGCAACUUUAACGGUUGACCCAAAUUCAACACUAUAGGAGCUGAAGACCCAAAUUCACCGCUUGAAAUCUCAUCUCUACCCUGACAUGCCAGAGUUUCGUCAAGAACCUCGUGGCAAAGGACUGGAUGAGAGCAAGACAGUUGCAGCACUUGGUUUGAAAGACAUUCUACGUGCAGCCA